UUUGUACCUUGUACCAGCAAGUUUAUUAAGAAAGUAAAAUUUUGAACAUAUUUAAUUAAAGCAAAACAGUCAUUUGGUUUGCCAGUGUUAUUGUGGAUUAACAUCAUAAUUAACCCAGUCAAUGAGACAGAUCAACACGUCUAUCUCCUCCCCAUUUCAAAAGUUUCAUCUGAAUUCAGUAACAGGCCUAUAUAAUAAAUAACAAUAUAUGCUUUUUUUUUUUUUAUUCUUUUUUUUUAGAUUUAUUUACAUGUGUGAAUGUGUUUAUUAACAUGGGAAAUAAGUGAAGUUUAAUACAGGCAAUUCAUACACAUAGAAUUAUUUACUUUACACUAUUACUACAGUUAUUGAUUAGUUUCUAUAUAUCUACACACAUUCGAUUUUUCAUGCUGUCUAAAACAUAACGCUACAUAGAAUCGUAAGAUUACAUUUCAGGUGAAAAAUAAGGCUUCAAAUUCACCAGUGUGAAAACAUACACGUGUAUGUACAUAUAUGCAUACGUAUUUAUGUACACAUAUACAUAUAUAUAUGUAUUCAAUUUCUUACGUAUAAGACGUUCACAGUGUCUGUAACUAAUAAUUACAUUUUGUUUAAAAAGCAUUUUAAGAAAGUGUAACAGACAAUUUAUAGCAAUGUUGCUUUAAGGUCAUUCAUUUGGAACAUCAUUUUUUUAACUCGAUCAAAGCCAGAUAGUUGUAUAAAGUUGAAUUUCUUAGGCAGUGAAAGAGUUAACAUAUGUUGUUUAUACGACCUUCCCAAAGUGUAUACCGUAUUAGUCAGCAAGACCUUUAGGAACUUAUUCAAUAUUCAGUGAGUUGUGGCAAGGGCACACUUAAGAUUAUGGCCUUUGAUAGGGAAGAUGAAGAAUUCUUCAAAUCAAUUCACAAAUAUUCAAAGUCAAUUUUUGUUGGGCAUUGAUCUGCUGGGGAGAGACUACUUGAAGAAUUAUUGAUUUAAUGAUUGAUUGAUUGAUUGAUUUAACUUUGUGAUAAGGAAUUGGAAUACCCCUUGCAGUGUACUUUUUCAGAGAGGUAUGUUAGUGCAAGGUUGGUGGGCACAUUGAGGCACUGUACUUUCUGGUUAUGUGAUGUGUGUCGGGCUACUGGGUACUCUAGGGAAUUUGUGGGAAACAUUUGUGCUUAUAGAAACAGCUCACCAAUCUUUUUGGCCAAAUCCCUUUACUAAACCAGGCCCACUGUUAUCAGCUAAGUUGGAGUGACUUUUUUUUUUAAAUUUAAACUUUAGUUACUUAACUCUAAAUGAUACACCAAUUGAGGAAGCCUAGUUGUAAGCGAAACGCGUUUUAGGCAUUUAUUUGGACACCAUAUUUUAUUUUACCAUAUUGGGCAUUUUAUGUAAGUGUUUCAUUCGUGUUGUUUUUUUAUUGAAUCCUAAUUUUGGGGCUGAAUUGCAUUUGGGACCACUACCAUCCUAUAUUGCAAUACACAGUCCAGCAGAGGGAUUAGGAUUACCUACAACAAUCCGAUUGUGCCUUAUAUGUUUGUAAGUGUGAUCAUUCGAAAUAUAUACACUUUCAUUCAUGGUACCUCUACACUAUUGUGUUUUCCCUUUUUUUCUCUCCUUUUUUUGGAAAUGACUCUACCUAGCCAAAGGAAAGUAUUUUGGAAGCAUAUUUGUGUAUAGCUCCACCUAUUUUAUGUUUAUAGUUUACUUACUCUAAAUGUUUGCAAUACAGAUAUCAUCUUCCCACAACUCACAGUUUAGUGAAUAAAUCCCACUGAAUAAUAUAAAGACAAUCGUAACACAGUGAAACCUUUUCUAAGAGUGCGAUCAUGCUACAUGCACAGUUCAGUUACUAAGUUGCAUAGCAAACUACAACUUUCUUUUUUAAUAAUUAUUCAGAAUAAGUGUAAUCCUUCAAGGAAUCAAAAUGCAUUUUUUAAAUAUGUUUACAGAUAGCAUCACAAUAAUGCUAUUGAGCAUACAGGUGAUUUUUAACAAUAUCCACAUAAAACCGUGAAAGGUGAAUUGUAUGACUUUAAUAUUAAUAGUUCUGUUGACUAUUGCACUAAAUCAAUACUUCUGUAAAUAAACUAUAUGCAGCACUAGUUUUUGAUGAAAGCCAGGACAGAUUGUGCAUCGCUGCGCAAUGUGCUGAUGAACCAUCCGGCUCUGAAAUGUUUAAAUAUAUGACGAUUUACACAGUAGUUAUAUUUAUAUCACAUGACAUUUAUUUUUAAAAUGUCUAAAGUAGAUCAUUACUUGAAAAGUUGGCUUUAGUAAAUAGCAACGUGAUGUAUAUAGCUUUAAAUACUAUCUGUUGGAAAUUUCUUAGGACAGUCUGUCAUUGUAUCCCCUUAAUCUGCCGAAUGAGUGUUUAUCCAAGGUGUCUUGUGAUCUUAAUCAGGUGUCCUAUAAAUUUAGGUCUCUGUAGUUGUUUAACAUAUUAUAUUUCUCUGUAUAACAAUCACGCAGUUUUCGGCUUUAAGUAUUUAAUUUUAGUACAUAAGCAUGUGGAGGUUCCAUAUGAACAUAAAUGAUCAUUAAAGCAAUCCUAAGACUACUAACAGUCUUGAAAAGCUAACCUCGACACCUCGAGCUUAUUACAAAAGACUUUUCCCGUGAUUCACAGUUACCGUUUAGACUGGGAAGAAUCAGGUGUUGGAUAUUACUUUACAUAACUGGGAACUUGGUAGAGAUAAAGUCCUCCUUUUUUUUAAGGGGAAAGAGGUGAGAUUUAGUAGCAUGGGGCCCACAUGCUGAUACAUUCGGGGGGGGUUCUAGAUGUAUUUUUUAAUACUCUCUCAAUCUUCAUGCAUGUAUGAGCACAUGAUGCUCUACAGAAUAGAACAAUGCAGGCUCUGAUUCAGAGGUCUCCACAUUGACCGGUGAAACAGUGCCCAAAAAAAAGCCCUAUAAUUACUCUCCUAAAAUGAAACGCCGAAACGCGCGUCGAGUUUAUUUUGAUUUAUUUAAUUCACUUUUUGGUAGCACUUAUGGAUUAGUUUAUUGAUUUUUUUUAGCUACUAGGACAGGAAGGGAUUUAGGUUUGGGUAGGCACCAGUGAUUGUCUCACAGUGCCGAGGUAAUUAGGGUCAGCUUACUAUUUUUAGUAGCUAUUUGCCUUGAUACAGCAUAUAGCUCUGGGGUGCUUCUUUUUUCCCCCAUAGAGGUCUUUUCAACCUCUUCUACCCCAGUCUGUUAUCCCUUUACCUCUCUCUAUCUGGGUGUUCUACCUGUGAGGUUUAGAAUGUAUGUAUCUUAGACCUACAGAUAGAGUAUUUGUCAGUUAGUUUUCUUUUUGGAGCUGGCAAUUGAUCUCUGUGUCUGUUUUAGUGAAGUCUUAUACUACAUAUUUCCUUUUACACCCACUUUUCUUUCCCUUAUUAUCUUUCCUGUCCUAUUUCAUUUUUAAUUCUGUUUUUCCUUUAGGAUUAUUAAAGGUAGGGACCCCCUUCCCUUACAUUACUCUCCUGUCUAGGACUUUUUUAGUCCCCAUUUUCGUCUUUUCUGAUGCUCUACAGAGUAAUGAAUAAUGUUGCAAAAUAUUAUGUUAUAUCCAACCAUUUUAUUAAACAUUACCUAGAGAGCAAGAUGUGCUCCCUUGAAUCUGAUCCUCUAUGAUGCGCAGAGAGGAGAGCACAUUGGGACUUGGGAGUAAUAUAAAAAGGUGGGGAAUAGGAAGGUUACAUAGCGAAUCUUCUCUCCAUCACCAUCUGAAAAAUAUGGUAUUGUACCGGAGGCUUGGUAAAGAAAGACCUAUUAAACGGAGAGCCUCCAGGUCCAUUUUGUCACUAUAACUUUUUAAAAAGCAGUUACUUCUCAUGUGAUUUUCCUAUUUACAUACAUUGCUAAGCCAGUUAUCCAUGUAAUACCUUAUGCUGGAAUAAAAUGUUUUAUGUUCUUGCAUUACUGCAAAUCAUUUGAAGCUAUACUUCAGUAUAUAGGUUUGGUUUUUUUUAUUCCUAAAUGUACAUUUAUAUAUUGGCAGCAUUUUCCGUAGCCUGCAUGCCAAGAAUUCUCUAUGUGACAUACUAAGAAUAUAUGACAGCUCAAUGUCAAUGUGUCACUGUGCAUGUUUGAAAGCAUGAUAGCACGAUACACCAACGGGCAUUUCUCCAAGAAUAAGGUUUACAACAUAUUUUGUAUCACUUGUGUUGUACAAGGUAUUAAGUAAUUCCAUGAACUCUCUCGAAAAUGAGGGGGUUUGCAUGCUGGGUUGUUAUGGCUGGAUGUAGCGUAAUAUAUCUUGUUGAGAAGAUCUAUUUACAUGUGAAACGCGUUAACCAGAAAUAACAUUAUAGACAGAUCUAGCUUAUUCGUACAAGUGACGUAAUAUUACAUUUACAUGCUUGGUAAGAAUCAUAUGGCAUAAUGUUAAUUUCAACAUUGUUCAUGAUUAUACUAUUUGUCUAGUGUUUUCUUUCAAAAGAACAUAUCGAUUUGUUUAUUGUUCAUUGCAGUCACUCGCUAUCAGUCUUUUCUUUUGUCAUAUCUUUUGAUUUCCAUCAAGAAAAUCUUUCGGUUAAAAAAUAAAUUAAUCUUAUCAUCAGUAAUAUCUGCAAUAGUACAAAUACGUGUGUCUCGGUUGUUGUGGGUCAUAGUAAACUGCUUAAUUUGCAUUAAAUGCUCUAAUGCUUAAUGCAUUUCACUUUACACCUUUCUCCCUUACCCAUCAGACUUAUUUAAAGAAACGGUAAAGAGUACUGCAGGCUACUGAUUAAACACUGCUUCAAAUCAAGUAAAUGCUUCAUACAGUUUAGAGAAGAGAAGCUUUACUGUCCCUUUAAAAUAAUAUGGAUUCUUGAGGGCAAUUGCAAAAAUGAAAAUCUCUGUAAAAGAUCAAAUGAGAGAUUUAAUGUCCAACAAUUGGCAAAGGCAAAAAAAACACAAAAAACACCUAAUUAAACCCCUGACUGCUAAAUCAAUUUAAAAAAAGUGCAUUGUAUCUUGUUGUAUAUUUUAUUAUUUUCUACCCUACAUCAUUGAUAGAUAUAGGUUGGGUACUCUUCUGGGUCUCUAAUUGUUUAGAACUACUCUCCAUCGCCUGGCGCAAAAGGUGGUGGCAGAUGACGGCUGAUGUGAUCCAAUACAAAUGAAGGUCUUUUUAACCCCUUAAGGACACAUGACAUGUGUGACAUGUCAUGAUUCCCUUUUAUUCCAGAAGUUUGGUCCUUAAGGGGUUAGGGAAACAAGCCAAAUCCCAAAAAGGUUCCUUGUAAACAUGUUCAAUAUUGGGCUAGGAAGGGACAUACAAUUCCUGUUGUCGUUUCGUGCAGUAUUCUGCCAAUAAACAAAAUUUAAUCGGCAGAAUAAUGAUGGUUUAUAGGCUGCAGCCCAAAACCCUUGUAUGCUUGUGGCACAAGAUACAAAUGCCCCUCUGCCACCCUUGCCAGUAUUCCCUUGGGAGUAAUAUGUAAGGAGGCUACUUUGAAAGCUAUCUAGUUAAUUAUUAAUUUUAUUGGGAGUUCAAAUUUAUUUUUUUUAGGGGAAAGGACCAUAGUGUGUGCAGGUUACAAUGGUAUACUAAGAGGAUCAACUGAGCUGCCCUCUUGAUAUACUGGGGGUCUGGCAUUGUGACCCCCACUACCUAUUUCUAUUGUAGCUUUUUUGCCAUUAAGUCUAUCCUGAGUCCCAAAUUCAUUUUAUUUUCUUCCUUGAUGUUGGUGUUACAUGAAGUAUUUAUCAAUCUGUAUCAUGCUACUCUCAUCAUCUGCUAAUACUACCACAAGUGCAUGUAGUUAAAGUGUUACUCCAAGCACCAUGACCACUACAUUGAUUUGAAGUGGUUGUGAUGUCUGGAGUCCGUAUGUGUAGAGUUUCGCUUUCAAACGCUGCACAUGCUGCCAGAGGUUUGACUCCACAUCCGGCAGCUUCACCGUGCCGUCAUCAACAACCCGGUACAAGAGUUACGGGCUAGCUAAUGUCAAUCCUGUAUAUUGCAUUCAUUGGCUGAGGGUGGUCAGCUGAUGCUCUCAGCCAAUGAAUAGAGAUGGUCUCACCAUCUGGCUUCUGCACCCCAGAAGCCAGAUGCGCAUCAUCAGAGAGGGAAGGAACCACGCUGUUUGGCGGGGACGCAGGUAAGAGGGCCUACCUUUGCAAAAUGGUUUGCCCCAUUACCAGGAAACAGUGCCAAUGUACUCCUAACAUUAUAACCAGAAAGCGGGCUGUAGUUGGUAUGGUUGUUGGAGUAACCAUUUAUCACCUAAUUUUUAAAAGAAAACUAAAAUCGCCACUAACAAAUAGUAGUUGUAGACAUUAAACCCACUGCUCUUCUGCUGAUUAAUUACAGAGGACUGUGUUAGUGAUAACUAGGUGAAGAUGUGACAUGACCAUUUAAAAAAAAACAUGUUUUUUUAGCAAUGCAACUUAAUAUUUUUCUACAAAAUUUAUAUAUUGCAUAGCAAAAGAAGCAAGUACAUCAAGUAUGCUUCACUUGUUCAAACGAGCUGUGGUAUCCUCAAUAUGGGGAUAUACACCUAGCAUUGUAAUGCAAGUUCUGCAGGACCAUUUAAACAGCAAAAUUACAAAAUUAGUGCAAAAGCGAGAAUAACAAAAUAAAAAAGUAACAUGAGUCGCAAUUAUAAUGUAAAAAAUACAGCAAUCAGUGAAAACAGGAAAAUAUGCAAAAUGUAACAAUUAACAAUGACCCCCCUCUAACAAAACAUAACAAAAUACUAAACAGGGUAGUGUGGAGAAUUAAAACAUGAACUGGCAAAACGUAUUCCAAAACUGAAUGGAAAAAAAACAAACUCUAUUCCCAACUUCUUCUCUUUGGACUACUUUUAGCAUUUUGUUUUUCAUUACACCAUAAUUUACAAUUCGUAACGCUAACUAUAAUUGAGAAAAAGCAUACAUGGUGUGUUUUAUGGUAAUACUGAGUAUGUAUUUCAUUAGCGUGUUAUUUUGUACAGUAGCUCAAAACUAAUUUCUGAUAUUUGGCACAGCUAGUCCUGUGACCUUCUGAGCUUUGGCACAUAAAUUAUAAGAGCAAAACAAAUGUCUAUUCCAAAAUUAGCACCGUCCCUGGUUUUUCUAAUAAAUAAUUGCAUCUUUUAAUAGCUAUUUACCAUCAUUAUUGCAUACAUCGUUUAUUUCAAUAGCUCCCAACAUAGGUCUCGCUUUAAUAUUUUUGGAUAAACGUUUUUAAAUGAUUUAAUGUUAUGAAAAAUAUUUACAUUUUGUAAUAUUUGAUGCUUUUGAUAUAUUGACAUAGAUGUUUUAUAUAUAU